CACCAUGGCAUUGAAUAUAUUAAACUUAUUAAAGCUAAUUUCAAGUUUUCGUGAAUCAGUAAAUGGGAUUGGAUGUUUUCUAAUUUGGGUUUGUCAGUAACUUAUUAAUGUUUUGGAAAUGGGAUUCUAAUUUUGUUGAUAUGUUUCUAUUGCCACUGAUUCACACAGAAAGCAUUUACAAGUGAUUGGGACAAGGAUUUGAAAAGCUUAUGAGCAAUUUGUGAUUUUGACUCUUUGCAACAGCCAACAGGUACUUUCCCUCUCUCUAUAGAUACGUGUCUGUGAUUCUAUCUCUGUGUGUGGACUGGAUAAUCUUCAUCAUAUGCAUGUGUGGUUGAAAAUUUUAGUGUUAAUGGUCAUUUUUCAAUAAUGAAUGAUAGAAUUGCUCUUGAAAAUGAUGUGGUAUUUUGCUUUAAUUUUCUAUUGCAAAUACAAGUGAUUGAAGAGAAGUAAUGGUUAUGAAAGUGAUUAAGUGAAAAUACAUCUUAUUAGUUAUUUAAUUCAUUUUCUUAUCAUCUUAUGUCUUUUUUUCUUUGAAUUUAAUUUGGAUAAAAGUGUUCUAAUUAUGUUCCAUAUGAUUUUACAUCUGCAUUGCCUACUUCAAUCACCACCGCGACCACCAAUUUCUGAAUCCUUUCAUUUUGGGACUCAUCAAUCAGGUUUUAUCGCUCUUUACUUGUUAUUAUGUCUACGAAAAAAUUUGAAUCGGGAUGUGCCAAAAGAAAAACGAAGGAAAAGAUUGGAAAAUUGAUUAAAUCUCAAGAGGGAGCACUUGAUAAGUUUUUUAGUAGUAGUAAACGAACACACAACGAUGAUGUAGUUACUGAAGAAGUGUUCAAUGAUCAGGACAACUAUAAUAACACAAUUGAAGAAGGACAUUGUGUGAUGAAUGAAGAGGUAUCUACUGACAAAGAUAAUGAACCAUUUUCUCUUGACCUUGUUGAUCCAGUAAAUUUGGGAAAUAUGAAUAAGAAUUUAAGAGAUUUAAUUGUAAUGAAAGGUCCUGUAAGAGAAAAUGAUAUGAUUUUUUCGAAAGAUGGAGCAAAUCGACACUUUUCAUCCAUACAUUACGUUUGACAAUUACAUAAUGGAGAGAAGCAUGAUAGAAAAUGGUUGAUAUAUUCAAAAAGUUUGGAUAAAGUAUUUUGCUUUUGUUGUAAGCUAUUCAAGAAUGAUGGAAUCAGAACUCAAUUGGCACAUGAUGGAGUAAAUGAUCAGAAAAUAUUAGUGAAAAACUUAAAAUGCAUAAAGUAAGUUGUGACCACAUCAAUAACAUGAGUAAAUGGAUAGAAAUGGAAUUAAGAUUUGAAAAGAAUAAAACAAUUAACAAAAGUGUGCAAGAACAAAUCAAUAGAGAUAGAGAACAUUGGAGACACGUAUUACUGAGAAUAAUAUCUGUGAUGAAAACUCUCGCUGAGAAUAAUUUAGCAUUUCGUGGGAAUAAUGAGAAGAUAUAUAAAAAAAAAUAAUGGUAUCUUCUUAAGCAUGAUUCAAAUGAUUGUUGAGUUUGACCCCAUAAUGUAAGAGCAUGUUUGUCGAAUAAAAAAUAAAGAGAUUCAUUAUCAUUAUCUAGGACACAAAAUUCAGAAUGAGUUGAUAUUUAUGCUAGCGGGCGAGAUAAAAAAAAAAAUCAUUGAGAAUCUCAAAAUUUCUAAAUACUUUUCUGUUAUAUUUGAUUGCACUCCAGAUACAAGUCACGAAGAACAAAUAUCAAUAAUAUUGAGAUGUGUAGAUGUUUUGACAAGUCUAGUGAAGGUUGAAAUUUUUUUUUAGGGUUUUUAUUAGUGGAUGAUACAUUAGGUAAGAGACUUUUUGAGGAAUUUGUGGAUGCUUUGAAUAAUCUAGAAUUUGAUAUUGAUAAUGUAAGGAGUCAAAGCUAUGAUAAUGGUGCUAACAUGAAAGGACAACAUAAAUGAGUUCAAAGUAGACUACUACAGCUAAAUCCUAGAGCAUUCUACAUUCCUUGUGGAUGUCAUAGUCUUAAUCUUGCACUUUGUGAUAUGGCCACUUGUUGUUCAAAAGCUAAAUCUUUCUUUGGGGUGGUGCAACGUAUAUAUACUUUAUUUUCUUCAUUUACUAAAUGAUGGAAAGUUUUUAAAGAGAAUGUAAUUGGUCUUACUCUUAAACCCUUGUCACAAACUCGUUGGGAAAGGCAUAUUGAAAGUGUUAGAGCGAUAAGAUUUCAAGCUCCGCAGAUGAAAAAAAAGUGUUACUUCAAUUAGCAAAUGUUGAUGAUUCUAAGACAAAAAGUGAGGCGGAGUGUUUGGCAACAUAUGAGAUUGAUAAUUUUGAAUUCUUACUUGGAAUGAUUAUUUGGUAUGAAGUGUUGAAUAAUGUUAACAGAGUAAGCAAACAUUUGCAAGCAGAAGACAUGCAUAUUGAUGUUGCUAUAGACCAUUUAAAAGGCCUCAUUUCAUUUUUUAGAAGUUAUAGAGAAUCUGGUUUUGAAUCGGCCAUGGUUGAUGCUAAAGAGAUUGCGAGUGAAUUAGAAAUUGAACUGAUAUUCGUGAAAAAUGGGUUAUGCAUAGAAAAAAACAGUUUGAUGAGACUUCUUCUGAAGAGAUAACACAAAGAGCUGAAUAAUCUUUUAAGAUCAAUUAUUUCAUAUAUAUAGUGGAUCAAGCUUUAUCAUCACUUCAUAAUAGAUUUGAGCAAUUUCAUAAAUAUGUUGAUAAUUUGGGAUUUUUGUUUGAUUUGAAAAGAUUUCAUCUAUUGAUGAUGAUGUUUUGAAGUGUUCUUGCAUUAAACUUGAAAAUUACUUGAAGCAUAAUACAAUUUUUGAUAUUGAUGGAAUGAAAUUAUUUUCUGAGUUGAAAGUUUUAAGGGAAGCGAUAUCUGCAAACAUUUUUGGAGCAAUUGAUGUAUUGGAUUACAUUAAGAAAAUGAGCUGUUGUUAUGCAAAUGUCUGGAUUGCUUAUAGAGUAUUAUUGACUAUUCCCGUUACAGUUGCCUCUGCUGAAAGAACGAAGUUUAAGUUGAUUAAAUCUUAUCUUCGAUCAUCCAUGUCAUAACAGCGAUUGAAUGGAUUAGCUAUGAUUUCUAUUGAAAAAAAUAUGUUGGACAACCUUGAUGUUAAUAGUUUGAUUACUAAUUUUACAUCUCAAAAUAUGAGAAUGUUAAAUUUUAUGCUAGCCUAAUCUUUCGGGUUGUGAAAGAAG
rnacentral:lncRNA from 1 species